rnacentral:lncRNA from 1 species
CAAUAUACAAUGUAUAUUCACUUUUACUACCAACUGAUAAAUUAAAACAAUUACCAUUCAGUGAUAACAAGCACUUUAUUUUACAUUUUAAUAUUUCAUGAUGUAUUUAAAUGAGUAGUUAUUGUUGCAAACUCCAUUAGAAAUUUGAAUUGAGAUCAGUUUUGGGGAAAGGGGGAUGUGAAAAAAAAUGGGGUGGGGGGGGUAAAUUUUUCUCAUUUCAGAUUUCAUAAAUAAGAAGAAAAUUUCUUCAAACAUUUUUUUGAGAGGAUUAAUAUUCAACAGCAUAGUGAAUUGCUCAAAGGCAAAAAAAAUAUUUUAAGUUCAUUAGACCACAUUCAUUCUGUGUCAGAAACCUAUGCUGUGUCAACUAUUUAAUCACAAUUCAAAUUUAGAGCUGAAUCCAGCUUGAAUGUUGUGUCCAUACUUGCCCUAACCGUUCAGGGUUCAACCUCUGCGGUCGUAUAAAGCUGUGCCCUGCAGAGCAUCUGGUUAGUUUCUGUUUGACUCAACUAAAUUUAAUGAAAUGUGUAUAUAAUGCUUAUUCAAUUUUUGGCAGCUUCAAUUUGCAGUUCUUGAGUUAUGUCCCUUUAUAAUGUUAAAUGCUAGUGGGGGCAUCAUCUGUGUCCUUUUGGACACAUUCCCCAUUUUUUUUUUAGAAGUUAUUAUUAAUUAAUACAAAUUUUAACCAUGACUGUAUGGCAUUUUAUAUUUUAAUAUUUUAUGAUGUAUUUAAAUGAGUUUUUAUUGUUGCAAACUCCAUUAGAAAUUUGAAUUGAGAUCAUUUUUGUCGAGCCUGCAACUUUUGUUGCAGAAAGCUCGACAUAGGGAUAGUGUUCAGGCGGCUACGGCGGCGGUGGCAGCGUUAGCUAACUUCUUAAAAACUUUAUAUUUUAGAAGGUAGAAGACCUGGAUGCUUCAUACUUUGUAUAUAGAUGCCUCAUGUUACGAACUUUCCGUCAGUCACAUGUCCAAUGUCCUUGACCUCAUUUUCAUGGUUCAGUGACUACUUGAAAAAAAAGUUAAGAUUUUUUUGUAAUGUUAAAUUCUCUCUUAUUAUAAGUAAUUGGAUAACUGUAUUUCGUAUGUGCGUACCUUGCAAGGUCCUCAUGCCCGUCAGACAGUUUUCACUUGACCUCGACCUCAUUUCAUGGAUCAGUGAACAAGGUUAAGUUUUGGUGGUCAAGUCCAUAUCUCAGAUACUAUAAGCAAUAGGUUUAGUAUAUUGGGUGUAUGGAAGGACUGUAAGGUGUACAUGUCCAACUGGCAGGUGUCAUCUGACCUUGACCUCCUUUUCAUGGUUCAGUGGUUAUAGUUAAGUUUUUGUGUUUUGGUCUGUUUUUCUUAUACUAUAUGCAAUAGGUCUACUAUAUUUGGUGUAUGGAAUGAUUGUAAGGUGUACAUGUCUAGAUGACAGAUGUCAUCUGACCUUGACCUCAUUUUCAUGGUUCAGUGGUCAAAGUUAAGUUUUUGAGUUUUGGUCUAUUUUUCUAAUACUUUAUGCAUUAGUCAACUAUAUUUGGUGUAUGGAAAUAUUUUAUGAUUUAUAUGUCUGUUACGCAGGUUUUAUUUGACGUUGACCUCAUUUUCACAGUCCAUUGCUAAGUGUUAAGUGUUUGUGUUUUGGUCUGUUUUUCUUAAUUUAUAAGCAAUAAGUCAACUACAUUUGUUGUAUUGAAGAAUUGUUAGCUGUACAUGUCUGCCUGGCAUGGUUAAUCUGACCUUGACCUCAUUUUAUGGUUCAUUGAUCAAUGUUUCGUUUUCUUUGGUUAAUGUUGAGUUUAUGUGACAGUUGUAAUAAAGCUUUAUAUUUAGGUCUAUCAACAUAAUGUCAAUGAUUAGUAAAGAAGGCGAGACAUUUCAGCGUGUGCACUCUUGUUUGAAUAAGGUAAAGGGGGAAGUGGAAAAAAAAUUGGGGUGGGGGUCAAUUUUUUUUCUCAUUUCAGAUUUCAGAAUUUAAAAAGAAUUUUUUUUCAAAUAUUUUUUCUUUUGAGAGAAUUAAUAUUCAACAGCAUAGUAAAUUGCUCAAAAGCCAAAAAAAAAAAUUUAAGUUCAUUAGACCACAUUCAUUCUGUUUCAGAAACCUAUGCUGUGUCAACUAUUUAAUCACAAUUCAAAUUCAGAGCUGCAUCCAGCUUGAAUGAUGUGUCAAUACUUGCCCCAACCGUUCAGACCUCGACCUCUGCAGUCGUAUAUAGCUGUGCCCUGCAGAGCAUCUGGUUGUAUGGUAUAAUAUACAUGUAGUAUAUCUUUUACUGGAACAGUUCAAUGCAGGAAUUUUGUUAUCCUGUCCUGGGACUAUUACACUGUCAGAAUUUUCAACAUUAAUCGUUUUUGUUUACUAGUACAUUUUGUAGUUUUAUUUCAUAAAUCUGUAUUCAAUACAGAUUCAUACAGGGGAGAAAAAAUUACCAUUACAGAUAGCAUAAUUAUCUAGUAUUGAAAUAUUUGAAUUCUGAUUAAUAGGAAAAUUAAUGUACAUGUAAAGAAUUAAAUAACAAAUAAAAUAUCUUUUAGAGUUA